UGGUUCCGGCAUCGAUGAAGAACGCAGCGAAACGCGAUAGAUAAUGUGAAUUGCAGAAUCCAGUGAACCAUCGAAUCUUUGAACGCACAUUGCGCCCACCGGCAUUCCGGGAGGCAUGCCCGUCCGAGCGUCCUGUCUCUCUCCAGGUGUACCUGGGUGUUGGGUUGGUCCCCCCGCAGCCGGGGGACCGCUCCGAACCGCAGUGGCGGGCCGAGGGGGAUCUCCGGCGCGAUGAUCGCUGAACGUUGGGGUCCUCUUGACAGCCUCGCCAGGCAACCCGUUCGCCGUCGGCGACGCUUGCUCUUUCGACCUCGGAUCGGGUAGGGAUACCCGCUGA
rnacentral:misc_RNA from 1 species